rfam:Nicotiana attenuata strain TT chromosome 3, whole genome shotgun sequence.
UGUCUUCACUCUAAUUUCCAGGGAUUUGUGCUAGUUAUCCAUUCAGUCUUCUUUCUACUGUUUUGAACUACUAAUAUAUAUGCAAAAAAGACCCUUUUUUUGUGUUGCUCCACCAAAGAAAGAAAAAAGUACUAAUAAAGUAAAGUUUUUACUCCGCGCUCAGUUUUAAUUUAUGAAUGAUGCUUAGCUGGUCUUUUCGGAUAAUCAGUCGCACUGGGACUGAGACACGGCCCGGACUCCCACAGGAGGCAGGAGUGGGGAAUCUUGGACAAUGGGCAAAAGCCUGAUCCAGCAA